UUUCCGCUCAUUGGAUGGAGGCUCAUUCGAACACAUUCUUUCACACACAUACACGUUACCCAUUUUGGAGGUUGAGGUUUGUGUGUUUGUGUGCACGAAAGAGCAGAGGAAAUGAAAGUGUGAAAUAUUAAAGCUGUGUAAGGAGUAGUUUCAGUCAGUGUCUGUCUGCACAGUCGUCAUGAGGUCGCUCGUUUGUCUUCCUUUCUGCCUGGUGCUGUUUCUGUUCUGUCUCAUUGCAGAAACAAAUCAACGUCCUUCAGCCUGCUGUUUGCAGACGAGCAAAAACAGAAUACCCAUAAACAGAGUGUUGAGUUAUACAGUCCAGAAAGCAGGAGUUUGCCCUAUCAACGCAAUUGUCUUGUUGACUGUAGGACGGAAAAUUCGGUGUUUUGAUCCAGACUCAGAGUGGAUCAAAGAUAUUAUGAGAAUGGUGGACCAGAAAACACGGACAAAACAAAACUCUGAUCCAAAAGCCUAGCCGAGCCAAAAUGCCAAAAGACAGAAUAAAAUAACAGAGGAAAGAUAGGCCUACGCAGACAGAAGAAUCAAAAUAAAAUUUUAUACGAUUUUUGUUUAUGUUUGUAGUGCGUUGUUUGACCUGUGCCAACUGACAUAAACCUUAAUUGAUGUCAAAAUAAGUAUGACUGUUUUAUGCUUACAUCUCUUUUGAAAUAAAUUUAUUCUGCUUCACUGAUUUUAUAAUCUCU